rnacentral:rRNA from 1 species
GCUACGGGUGGCAGCAGUGAGGAAUAUUGGUCAAUGGGCGAGAGCCUGAACCAGCCAAGUCGCGUGAGGGAGUACUGCCCUAUGGGUUGUAAACCUCUUUUGUCGGGGAGCAAAAGCCGGACGUGUCCGGCUGUGAGAGUACCCGAAGAAAAAGCAUCGGCUAACUCCGUGCCAGCAGCCGCGGUAAUACGGAGGAUGCGAGCGUUAUCCGGAUUUUUUGGGUGUAAAGGGCGUGCAGCCGGAGAGACAAGUCAGAUGGGAAAUCCACGGGCUCAACCCGUGAACUGCAUUUGAAACGGUUUCCCUUGAGUGUCGGAGAGGUAAUCGGAAUUCCUUGUGUAGCGGUGAAAUGCGUAGAUAUAAGGAAGAACACCAGUGGCGAAGGCGGAUUACUGGACGAUAACUGACGUUGAGGCUCGAAAGCGUGGGGAGCAAACAGGAUUAGAUACCCUUGUAGUC